CUUUGUAACACACCGAGCGAAGCCGACUUGAGUGUACGUCCUUCGCGCAUGCGAGAGACGUAAUACGUCUCCACUACAGCAGGUGGUGCUAAUCUGUAUUGUUGCCCAAAAAAUGUAAAUUGGCUGCUGAUUGGACGAACGCGUCACGUGGGUCUGGC